rnacentral:rRNA from 1 species
AUGGCAUUACUAGAAGCUGCAUGUGUGAAUCUUAGCGUUGAAUGCAAAGAUGUCUGUUUGAAUUAUGACUCUGGUGUUUUCUGCGGAGCUAAUGAUAAUACAUGUAAGAAUUGUGUUCCUGUUAGCGACGAUUGCAGCAGCGAUUGUGUGCUUCUGGGUGGUAUCUCAAGUGCUAAACACCUCAAGUUGAUAUCUGAUACUGGAAAGUUCAUUUUCACAAGAGAUUUGAAACAUUGCCCUACAUUUAGCAAGUUAAAGACUUUAUUACUCAACAAUUACUGGUGCGAGGCUCCUGAUUUGGAUCCACUAUCUUGCAUUCUGACAAACUCACCAGUUCUUGAGAAGCUCACUCUUGAACUUUCUCCCGAGGCGCAAAAUCCUAAACUGGAGAUAAAAGGAAGCUACUGUUGCAUGGAGAGACCGUCUGCAAUAUCAGAGCACCUCGACAUAGUUGAAGUCAAGUGUGAUGUGAUCGAUGAGAUAAUUCUUAAAGUUUUGAAGUUCUUGUGUGCAUUUAACAUACGAUUCAGUUUCGAGUAA